rnacentral:lncRNA from 1 species
UCAAACGUUGAUCAAUCUCCUUCUUUCAAUCUCUUCCUUUUUCCUAUCACCAUGGUUUACUUGGCGCCAAUGAAAAUGAAAAUGAAAAUAGUCAGAUCAGUCAAUAUACGUCCUUGUGUUCUGAACCAUGAGUCGUGUUAGAAGAGAAAUCGGGUCUUAGCACUCAUGCCGAUGGGACCCAGGAUGGGCCGUCCUGGCUCAAAGAGGGUCAUGGCACCACCGCUUGUGAACUUCGUUCCCGCUCCCGUUGGCCCUCCACUGCCGAUCGCCAUGCAACAUUUUAUCCAUUCCUGCUUUUAGUUAUUUGCAUUAGGAAAUAUACAAAAUUGCGCUCUUUGUCAACCAAUUGCAGACAUGUAAGGUUCAGCGAAAUAAAAAACCUACAUAUAUCCAAUAGAGGUUGGGACGCAACGGCAAAGGUUUUGUAUGCUCGCAUCAAACAUACCCGGAGUGGAGCAGCCAUCUUUCACGCCAUCCUCAUCGACCAAA